rnacentral:rRNA from 1 species
CGGCAACAGCUCAAAUUUGAAAUCUGGCCUUGUGCCCGAAUUGUAAUUUGAAGAGGAUGCUUUUGGUGAGGUGCCUUCUGAGUUCCCUGGAACGGGACGCCAGAGAGGGUGAGAGCCCCGUAUAGUUGGACACCAAGCCUCUGUAAAGCUCCUUCGAC